UUUUACUAGUUGCUGGGAUAUAU
rnacentral:piRNA from 1 species